rnacentral:lncRNA from 1 species
CCUCUAGUACGGCCUCGCCCUCGCCCUCUGCCCCUAGUGGGAGGUGCUGCCGGGGGCUUGGGUUGUUGGUCUGGAUGAGGACGCACGUGUUCUCGCUACCUACGAAAGAACAGUGUAGAAAUUCAAUUAGCAUUGAGAAGCCAAACCACAUGACAGGAAAGAAUAAAUGUGAAGUUUUUACUAACUCUGUAGCCUCUGGGGGAUAAAUACAGACGUAUCCGUACCGAUUCCUCAGACUCUACUAAGCUUGUCUGUCAACUGUGAGACCCAUGUAACCUAGGGCUCUGAUACCAACUUGUCAUGACCCGGAUUUCUCACCUUUAAGAGCCGUGAUGGCGCCUAUUGGUGAAAGCUAGGCAAGCCAAAUUAUUCUAGAUACUUAACCUUUUCCAGUUUUAAACCAUUAUCAGUGAUGAGUAGAUAUCAUCCAAAUAGCGAAAAUAUUAAAGCGGAGGACAAAAUCAGACAAUUUAUCUUAAUACAAAACUAUUAAGAUAUCUGUGAUGAGUAGAUAUCAUGCAAAUAGCGAAAAUAUUUAAGCGGAGGACAAAAUCAGACAAUUUAUCUUAAUACAAAACUGCGGAAGUAUAAAUACAACUUUACUCAGAAUUUGGUAAUCAAUAUAGGAUAAGAAACACUUGCCCCAAUGUUUUCACGUGAAAAUCGCCCAAAAUCGCUCAAGAACCAAGCUCCAAAAAUUUCAAAACGAAAUAGUGUUUGAUUUUGUGAUUAAAUGUUUUUGCCCAUCCGUUCCUAAAAGUCGUCACUAAAAGUCUACUAGAAACAACUUUACCGGCUUUUAUUUAAUCGAUCAUAACUUUUUGUACAAAUGUCCAAAUGAUUAAUGGUUUAGCUUUCUGGAAAUUAGGAUGCAAGAGCUACAACUUUCAUGUUUUGCACAUUUUUAGAUUCUUUAUAGAUUUCGAGAUAUAAGCUUCCAAAGUAGCCUCCUCGGAUCAAACAUUUCUGGAAAAUUUCAAAACAGCUUUAUCAACCCUUAUUCAAUCAAUCAUAAAUUUUUUUACAAAUAUCCAAAUAAUUAAUGGUUUAGCUUUCUGGAAACUAGAUUGCAAGUGCUACAACUUUCAUGUUUUGCACAUUUUCAGAUUCCUUAUAUAUUUUGAGAUAUAAGCUUUCGAAAUAGGCUCCACGAUUGCACAGUUGCUGUCCAAGACAACUUCUACAGUAGAAAAUUCCAGCAAUCCUUUUUGUCCGAUUUCCAUUUCGUUAACCUUUCGAAAUCUACCCGAGGCCCUCGGGACCUUAACUAAUUAUACCAACAUGUCCCAAAAUACAAUAUGAACUUAAUCAACGCUUCAAACCACAUCAAACAACACUGAAAUUAUGAAGCGCGCAUCGAAUUGAAUAAUGAAUUUUCAAAUCUUCCCACUUCUAUAUUUUUGUGCCGAAACAUAUCAAAUCAAUCCGGAAUGACUUCAAGUUUUGCACACAAGUCAUAAAUGACAUAAUGGAGCUGUUCCAAUUUUUAGAAUCGGAUUCCGACCCAGAUAUCAAAAAGUCUAACUCUCAGUCAAACUUUUCCAAAAAUCUUUCUAUUUUCCAACUUCGCCAAAAUGCGUCCUCCUCACUUGGGGUUGGGUGAGGCUUGGCAGGGCUAUCCAUAGAUGAUUUGUGUUUUGGUUUGUUUCUCCCUUAUGGUAGUUAUUUAGGGUAGUUACUGUAUUAUAUUAUUGCA